UAUAUAUAUAUGACGCACGACGCGAGAAAACCGGUCUUAAUGACACUACAAUGAAUGUGCACUACAGCGAUUUAAAUGACGUCACUCUUAUUGCGUAUACACAUGUAAACACGGAAAUGCUUUUUAUCGUGUGUUAUUGUUUUUUAAGUGUACUUUCGUUAGAAUUCAGAGGAAAGUUUAUAUGAUGGAGAAGGAGUUAGAAGUAAGUGUCUACAAUGUAUAAUUUAUGAAAAACAACAACAAAAAUAUAUCAUGCAUGUUUAUUUAUAAGAGCAUCGAAUUGAUAAAUAUUUACUGUUGGUAAUUUAACACUGACGUUUACAGUACUGUAUAAAAUCUACACUACAGUACUGUACUUUAAGUAUGCUUUGAAAUACAGAAGAAUAAAUUAAUCGCCAACAUACAUCGGUGCCUUUAUAUAGAAUAAAUUUACGUUGUUUUGAUCUCAAUUAAAUCAAAGUCUAUUGUACUGUAGGGGUUUACCAAUCGAUCUCAUAUUUUAUAGGCAGAUCUAAAUUUAGGUUAAUUUAAGAAUAAUCUAAUCAGUCGCAAGUUAAAUUAAUACUCUUUUUCAUAAUUCAUUUACAAUAUGUUUCUAUAAUUCAUUUAGAACAUGUAAGCAAUAAAAUAAUAUAUGUCCAAAAUAUGUUACGUCAUCAUGGAAUAAAAAAGUUUUUUAGAUUUAAUAUUGUCUUUUAUUGAUUAAUUAGCACGCUAAAAUAUUGCUGAGAGUAUAGCUCAGUGGAUUAUGUUGUGGCCUCACAAUCAAACAAAUCGAGUUCGUAUCCUGUCUGAUACCAAUUUUUUUAUAUCUGUUUUUUAUUUAUUUUUUGUCAUGCAUAGGAUCUGAAAUCCCUCUACUCGGAUUAUUUUUGGGAGAACACUUAUCAAGUCACAAAACAGAUAUUUCGAGAGAUACUGACUAUGAUUAUUCAGAAGUGGAAAAAUGUGACACUUGCAACGACGGCACUGCGGGACCACGUACUUCUCGCACAAAAGACAUGCAUGCGCGGUGUUUAGUUGAUGCGGGAUUCGCACAUCUAAAGGCAUGAUUUAGAAACACUUCAACAGCUGGCCGAUGUAACAGAGAAGUCAUCUACAACAAACAGCCGGUAUGUUACCCCAAGCGGUCAUGGCGGCAAUGGAAACCUGUUCUUGAGGGAUUUUCGAACCAAUUAUUGGUAUAAGAUAGAAAAUUCCUGCACUUCCGGUUCCAGUCGAACACACCGGGCGUGGUUAUGGCCAAAGUAACACCUGAAGGCGAGGAAUAUUAGAUUCAAGUCUUGAAAAGAACACGGAUUCCGGUUCAGUUCAUGUGUCCGUCCAAGCGUUAUUACGCCAGUAGGAAUGUCAGCAGUGUCGCGAAGUGUGCGUGCGUUCGUCAGUCAAGACAGUUAAUCAUAUCAGUGCACUGUUACAACAGCUUAGUGCAGAUUUAAAUAGUCCGGCUGUUUGAUGGAUGUUAACAACACGAAAUGAAUAACUUCAAAUAUAUUUACGAGGCAGAAAAGUUCAAUGUUUCUAUUUAAAUAUCAAUUGUUGUUAAAGCACGGCCAUUGUUUCUGUUAUAAAGAAAAAUAGAACUUAUUAUUUAACUGUCUAUGUUUUUUAUAAGUAUAAAACGUUAAACGUAGACUUAUA